rnacentral:rRNA from 1 species
AGUGAACGCUGGCGGCAUGCCUAACACAUGCAAGUCGAACGGCAACGCACUAAGAGUUUGCGCUGACGGGUGGCCGGUGGCGUAAGUGAGAGGAAUGUAUCCGACCCUAGUCUUUCGUGGGGCUUAACGUAGGUAAACUUACGAUAAGAUCGCAGACGACCUACCGGGGAAAGCAGGGGAUCUUUUGGCCUGGCGGGACUGUACUAGCCGCUGUCGGAUUUGCUAGUUGGGGGGUUAAAGGCCUAGCAAGGGGACGAGCCGUAGCUGGUGUGAGAGGAUGAUCGGCGCCACGGGAGCGGAGACACGGACCAGACUCCUACGGGAGGCAGCAGUGGGGAAUGUUGGACAAUGGGCGCAAGCCUGAUCCAGCCAUCCCGCGUGGGUGAAGAAGGCCUUCGGGUUGUAAAGACCGUUUGUUGGGAAAGAAAAGCCUUCGCUUAAUACGAAGCGGUUCUGACGGUACCGAAAGAAUAAGCACCGGCUAACUACGUG